rnacentral:misc_RNA from 1 species
CCGCGGUAAUUCCAGCUCCAAUAGCGUAUAUUAAAGUUGUUGCAGUUAAAAAGCUCGUAGUUGAAUUUCGGGAUUGGCGCAUCGGUCGUGCCUCACGGGGUAUGAACUGGUGCAGUCAAUUUCUCACCUUCUGGAGAACCGCGAUGUCCUUAAUUGGAUGCCGCGGGGAACCAGGACCUUUACUUUGAAAAAAUUAGAGUGUUUAAAGCAGGCAUUUUUGCUUGAAUACAUUAGCAUGGAAUAAUAAAAUAGGACGGCAUGGUUCUAUUUUGUUGGUUUCUAGGACCACCGUAAUGAUUAAUAGGGAUAGUUGGGGGCAUUAGUAUUCAAUUGUCAGAGGUGAAAUUCUUGGAUUUAUUGAAGACUAACUACUGCGAAAGCAUUUGCCAAGGAUGUUUUCAUUAAUCAAGAACGAAAGUUAGGGGAUCGAAGACGAUCAGAUACCGUCGUAGUCUUAACCAUAAACUAUGCCGACUAGGAAUCAGACGAUGUUAAUUUUUUAAUGACUCGUUUGGCACCUUACG